AAAAAUCCAAACCCUAGCUCAAAACCCAUGAGAACUCACCUUGGGAGUCCAAGACUUUCCUUCAAAGCCUUGAUCAAGCUUGCUCUUCACCUUGGAGAGCUUCUUCUCCAAGCUUUUCUCCUCCAAACUCUCCUUGGUUCAAGCCCUAGAGAGAGAGGGAGAGAGAAGAGAAGGAUUUUUAGAGAGAGAGAGGGAAGGCUUGUGUUUGGGUGUGAGGGAAAUAAGAGCUAACCCUAACCCUCACCCAUAUACAACCAUCUCAUGUAACAUUUGCACUUAAACCCCUCUCAAUUUCAUUUUUGCAACCAGCCCUUACUGGGCAUUUUCGGGCUCGGGGACCGGUCUCU
rnacentral:lncRNA from 1 species